rnacentral:lncRNA from 1 species
CCUUGCGGCCGCUCCUUUCACCGCGAUCCCUGAGCCAACAUGGCAGCGAAGCUGCGUGUGUUUCAGAGCAUGACACCGUGUCAAGAAGAGGUAGAAACACUGCCUUGGCUGGGGAGCUGAUUUACCCACCGUGCACCUUCACAAUGGAGGAAACGGUCCUGCAGAAUCCUGGGGCUGCUGUUGCCCAAGGACAGCUUUGGCCAGAGGGCAGCUGCUGUGUUUGGCUUCAGGCUGGUAAGAGAAUUGAAUUCUUCAGUGUGUUGUUUGUGUGUUGUUUAUUUUUAAUUGAUUAAUUACAUGCCAGGCCUGCAGAGCCUAAUCUCUGAAGAAAAAAUCCCAGGGAGAACAGCUGUGUAUGUGCACUGUGUGUGUGGUUUUGGGGAACAGGAGGGGUUUGUGCAGCCAGGGCUGGGACAGACACUGAGCCUGUGAUGUGCUGUUAUCCCUGUCUGACACUCAGCUUGAGGAGGAAAAUGUCCAACUGAGGCUCAGAUGCUUCCCUUAGCGGGUCCCCUGCCCCUUGCAAAGAGUCCA